GUUAUAUGGUCAAGUGAAGAAGCGCAUACGGUGGAUGCCUUGGCAGUCAGAGGCGAUGAGACGUGGUAGCCUGCGAAAAGCUUCGGGGAGUCGGCAACAGACUUUGAUCCGGAGAUCUCUGAAUGAACCCACCUAGGAUAACCUAGGUAUCUUGUACUGAAUCCAUAGGUGCAAGAGGCGAACCAGGGGAACUGACAUCUAAGUACCCUGAGGAAAAGAAAUCAACCGAGAUUCCCUUAGUAGUGGCGAGCGAACGGGGAUUAGCCCUUAAGCUUCAUUGAUUUUAGCGGAACGCUCUGGAAAGUGCGGCCAUAGUGGGUGAUAGCCCCGUACGCGAAAGGAUCUUUGAAGUGAAAUCGAGUAGGACGGAGCACGAGAAACUUUGUCUGAACAUGGGACCAUCCUCCAAGGCUAAAUACUACUGACUGACCGAUAGUGAACCAGUACCGUGAGGGAAAGGCGAAAAGAACCCCGGAGAGGGGAGUGAAAUAGAACCUGAAACCGUAUGCGUACAAGCAGUGGGAGCCUACUUGUUAGGUGACUGCGUACCUUUGUAUAAUGGGUCAGCGACUUAUAUUCAGUGGCAAGCUUAACCGUAUAGGGUAGGCGUAGCGAAAGCGAGUCUUAAUAGGGCGUUUAGUCGCUGGGUAUAGACCCGAAACCGGGCGAUCUAUCCAUGAGCAGGUUGAAGGUUAGGUAACACUGACUGGAGGACCGAACCCACUCCCGUUGAAAAGGUAGGGGAUGACUUGUGGAUCGGAGUGAAAGGCUAAUCAAGCUCGGAGAUAGCUGGUUCUCCUCGAGCUAUUUAGGUAGCGCCUCAUGUAUCACUCUGGGGGGUAGAGCACUGUUUCGGCUAGGUCAUCCCGACUUACCAAACCGAUGCAAACUCCGAAUACCCAGAAGUGCCGAGCAUGGGAGACACACGGCGGGUGCUAACGUCCGUCGUGAAAAGGGAAACAACCCAGACCGCCAGCUAAGGUCCCAAAGUUGUGGUUAAGUGGUAAACGAUGUGGGAAGGCUUAGACAGCUAGGAGGUUGGCUUAGAAGCAGCCAUCCUUUAAAGAAAGCGUAAUAGCUCACUAGUCGAGUCGGCCUGCGCGGAAGAUGUAACGGGGCUCAAACCACACACCGAAGCUGCGGGUGUCACGUAAGUGACGCGGUAGAGGAGCGUUCUGUAAGCCUGUGAAGGUGAGUUGAGAAGCUUGCUGGAGGUAUCAGAAGUGCGAAUGCUGACAUGAGUAACGACAAUGGGUGUGAAAAACACCCACGCCGAAAGACCAAGGGUUCCUGCGCAACGUUAAUCGACGCAGGGUUAGUCGGUUCCUAAGGCGAGGCUGAAAAGCGUAGUCGAUGGGAAACAGGUUAAUAUUCCUGUACUUCUGGUUACUGCGAUGGAGGGACGGAGAAGGCUAGGCCAGCUUGGCGUUGGUUGUCCAAGUUUAAGGUGGUAGGCUGAAAUCUUAGGUAAAUCCGGGGUUUCAAGGCCGAGAGCUGAUGACGAGUCGUCUUUUAGAUGACGAAGUGGUUGAUGCCAUGCUUCCAAGAAAAGCUUCUAAGCUUCAGGUAACCAGGAACCGUACCCCAAACCGACACAGGUGGUCGGGUAGAGAAUACCAAGGCGCUUGAGAGAACUCGGGUGAAGGAACUAGGCAAUGGCACCGUAACUUCGAGAAGGUGCGCCGGCUAGGGUGAAGGAUUUACUCCGUAAGCUCUGGCUGGUCGAAGAUACCAGGCCGCUGCGACUGUUUAUUAAAAACACAGCACUCUGCAAACACGAAAGUGGACGUAUAGGGUGUGACGCCUGCCCGGUGCCGGAAGGUUAAUUGAUGAGGUUAGCGCAAGCGAAGCUCUUGAUCGAAGCCCCGGUAAACGGCGGCCGUAACUAUAACGGUCCUAAGGUAGCGAAAUUCCUUGUCGGGUAAGUUCCGACCUGCACGAAUGGCGUAACGAUGGCGGCGCUGUCUCCACCCGAGACUCAGUGAAAUUGAAAUCGCUGUGAAGAUGCAGUGUAUCCGCGGCUAGACGGAAAGACCCCGUGAACCUUUACUGUAGCUUUGCACUGGACUUUGAGCCUGCUUGUGUAGGAUAGGUGGAGGCUUUGAAGCGUGGACGCCAGUUCGCGUGGAGCCAUCCUUGAAUACCACCCUGGCAUGCUUGAGGUUCUAACUCUGGUCCGUGAUCCGGAUCGAGGACAGUGUAUGGUGGGCAGUUUGACUGGGGCGGUCUCCUCCUAAAGAGUAACGGAGGAGUACGAAGGUGCGCUCAGACCGGUCGGAAAUCGGUCGCAGAGUAUAAAGGCAGCGCGCUUGACUGCGAGACAGACACGUCGAGCAGGUACGAAAGUAGGUCUUAGUGAUCCGGUGGUUCUGUAUGGAAGGGCCAUCGCUCAACGGAUAAAAGGUACUCCGGGGAUAACAGGCUGAUACCGCCCAAGAGUUCAUAUCGACGGCGGUGUUUGGCACCUCGAUGUCGGCUCAUCACAUCCUGGCUGAAGCCGGUCCCAAGGGUAUGGCUGUUCGCCAUUUAAAGUGGUACGCGAGCUGGGUUUAGAACGUCGUGAGACAGUUCGGUCCCUAUCUGCCGUGGACGUUUGAGAUUUGAGAGGGGCUGCUCCUAGUACGAGAGGACCGGAGUGGACGAACCUCUGGUGUUCCGGUUGUCACGCCAGUGGCAUUGCCGGGUAGCUAUGUUCGGAAAAGAUAACCGCUGAAAGCAUCUAAGCGGGAAACUUGCCUCAAGAUGAGAUCUCACUGGGAACUUGAUUCCCCUGAAGGGCCGUCGAAGACUACGACGUUGAUAGGCUGGGUGUGUAAGCGUUGUGAGGCGUUGAGCUAACCAGUACUAAUUGCCCGUGAGGCUUGACCAUAUAACACCCAAACA
rnacentral:rRNA from 1 species